GAUGAACGCUGGCGGCGUGCCUAAUACAUGCAAGUCGAGCGAACGGACGAGAAGCUUGCUUCUCUGAUGUUAGCGGCGGACGGGUGAGUAACACGUGGAUAACCUACCUAUAAGACUGGGAUAACUUCGGGAAACCGGAGCUAAUACCGGAUAAUAUUUUGAACCGCAUGGUUCAAAAGUGAAAGACGGUCUUGCUGUCACUUAUAGAUGGAUCCGCGCUGCAUUAGCUAGUUGGUAAGGUAACGGCUUACCAAGGCAACGAUGCAUAGCCGACCUGAGAGGGGGAUGGGCCACACUGGAACUGAGACCCGGUCCAGACUCCUACGGGAGGCAACAGUAGGGAAUCUUCCGCAAGGGGCGAAGGCCUGACGGAGCAACGCCGCGGGAGUGAUGAAGGUCUUCGGAUCGUAAAACUUUUUUAUUGGGGAAAAACAUAUGUGUAAGUAACUGUGCACAUCUUGACGGUACCUAAUAAAAAAGCCACGGAUAACUACGUG
rnacentral:rRNA from 1 species